rnacentral:pre_miRNA from 1 species
GAAAAGGGAAACCCUAGAUUUCCUUGCUAGACAUUUGAAUAUCGCGGUCUUAUAUAANGUUUAUUUUGAUAAUGUAGUAUUUUCAUUAUCGGUUAGAUGAUAAAACAUGAGUAAUACUUUAUGCGCGACUUAUUGUGGUAAUUUUUUUUAUAAUUUUUUUAAAUAAGACGGACGGUCAAACAUUGGGCAUGGAAACCAGGGUCUGUUUUUUUU